rnacentral:lncRNA from 1 species
UCGUGUAUCACUAUAAAUUUGCCAGAGCAGCUCAUGCCCCCACCCUCAACCCUCAGAGCUGUGGGAAGGGAGGCUGGGUGUGGGCCUUUCACAUUUAUUCUUAUGACCCCAGUACUUCCAUUAAACCUUGGCCUUCCCGCCACUGCUGGGAGAUACAGGUCACUUCUCUAGAACUAAAACAGCAUAAUUAUUUGCAUGCAACUGUCUUUAUCCUCAAUGGGACAAUGUAAAGAUCCAAAGCCACAAGGCCUACCAUCUGCUCCAAAUGCAGCACAGAGAUCUCUGUAAGGAAAAGAAUAUUCACAAGGAAGGAAAACAGAGGUGAGUAUCCAAAUCUCAGUCUGUGUGAGCAUUUGCAGGUCAUUGCUAGCCCAAUGUUGCUGUGCCAUUGCAGCUAUAAAUUGUUAUUGUUUGUUUUCCGGGUACUUUAGGGGGUAAGUACUGGGGAUUGAACCCAGGGAUGCUUUACCACCAAGCUAUAUCUGCAGGUCUUUUUGUUUUUUAUUUUGAGACAGGGUCUUGCUAAGUUGCUUAGGGUCUCACUAAGUUGCUGAGGCUGGCCUUGAAAAUGUGAUCUUCCUGCCUCAGCCUUUCAAGUUACUGGGAUUGCAGAUAUGCAUCCCUGUGCCCAGAUCUCUAUAAAGGCUUUUAAACUGCAGUUCUCCCACCACCGUUAUGUGUGUUGUUUUUCAUUGUAAGGGUGAUUUGAAGGGCCUCAGUGAAUGGUUCUGUAGAAAGUUCCUUGUUGUAGUUUCCUAAAACAAAUCACCCUAAACUUAUCAGUUUAAAGUAGCACAAUGUCUUAUAUCCCAGUUCCAAGGUUUUAGUUGUCUGGGUCCCAAUCCACUGGGUCCUCCUCUCAGGGUUUCACAAGGCUGAAAUCAAGGUAUCAGUGGGGCUGCCUUGUCAUUUGAGGCUCAGGCCCUCUUCCCAGCCCAUUGGUUGCUAGAACUUACUUCCUUGCAGCCAUAGGUCUGAGGUUCUCACUUUUAAAGGUCACCCACUAUUCCAUGCCACUUGGCCCUCUCCAUGACAGAGCAGUUUGCUCCUUCAUAGCUAAUAGUAGAAUAUCUGCAGCUGCUUCUUCUCCCAGGGAAAGGGCUAAGCCUUUAUCUAAGGUCUGCCUGUUAACUGAGGCAGAUUCUCCCAGGAGAAUCUCCCUUCCAACUGAUUAUACCAUAAUCUGAUUGGAGAUUUUACUUACACCCACAAACCCUCUCACUUUUGUCAUAUAUUCUAGCACACUCAGAACAGACUGUCCCAUCAAUCUCAGACUCUGCUACCCCCAAGGGAAGAGGAUUACACAGGGACCUCAGAAUUUAUGUAGUCUACCUAUCCCAUCCUCCAUUCUUGAUUUGUCUGAUUGACUUCAUCUAUUUCCUUAGGAUCAAUUCAAAUUAAACAUUUUUGAUAAGGCUGCUAAUGAGGUGUUUCAAGCAUCUUUCCUUGUUUCCAACAUUUCUUGUUUUCCUCCACCCACUUCUAUUCACAAACAUGUUCUACUCAUUCUUUCAGAACCCCCAGGGUCCCAUUCCACUCCCCCUAAGAACAAUACAAGAGAGGGAGUUUCCCAUGGAAGCUGCUUCUCAUUUAUUCAGUGGUUCAAAUCCCUUCCCAGUAUUCACUGAAUUGAAUGGAUGCCUCCUAAAGUGAUUCUCCAUUUGGGUUACUAUAAAAAGAUACCUCACAUCUGAUAAUUUGCAAACAACAAAAACGUAUUGCUUGUAGUGCAGGGGCUGCAGAGCCCAAGAGCUUAGCACCAGCAGAUUUAGUGACUAUUGCAGUCUGCUCUCUGCUUCUAGGAUGGAACCAUCUUACUGUGCUCUCAGAUGAUGGAAGAAGUAGACAUGAGGGUGGAGCCCUUGUGACUUAAUCACUUCUCAAAAGAGCCCCUGUAAUACUAUCCCAUUGGGUGUUAUGCUCCAAAGUGUGAAUUUGGGGGAUUCCAGUAUUUAAAUCAUAGCCACACAAUAAGAGGAAGUAUCAGGAACUGGUUGAGAACAUAGAACCCAGAAUAGGACUUCUGAAUUUGAUUUCUGACUUAGACACUUACCCAUAAGUGAUUAAACCCUUCAUAUUCCCAUGUGUGAAAUGUAGAUAUUAGUAUUUCCACAUCAAAUCUACCUUCAGCAUGUUUAGGGCCUAGAAGUACUGAAAAGAGUAAAAAUGGCAGCCUCUGUGUUACCGUAAAAGUUAAGCAAACAAAGCAUUAAGGGGGGAAAAUGUUCUACUUUCUCACCAUGACAAAUGUGGUUUUAUAAUGACCUGGAAGCACAAGGCUUUAGAAUUCUUGGACUCCAUGGAGUUAUCUCCAAAUGGGGUGGUUCAUGGGAAGCAUGUUCCAGACUUUGAUUCAUGGCUCACUCUCCUCCCUUUUUUUCCCACACAUGGCUCUGUCCUUGCUUGCAUGCUCACAGCUAAGACCACAUGAAACUCUGUGUCCACAGCCAAAGGGUGGCCACCUGUGGCCUGGAGAUCUAAGAUCAUGCCACACACAUGCCAUCUGGACAGACCUGGCAAGAGGCCCACUUAGCAUCUUGAUUUUGCUUAGAGAUGUUGAGAAAGGGACCUCCAGGAUCCCAGGUGACUGCUGGUGUGUCUUCACCUCGUGAAGAAGCUUCUUACUGUCUAGUUGGGAGCAACACGAGUAAAGAGGGCCAGAAUAGUCCCACUCAAACAGAGUCCAAAUAGAGGCCUCUGUUGUCUAAGGACAACUGACCCAUUUCACAAGGUGGCAGUGAGAAAUAAUUCAGAAACUAUGUGUUGAGUACAUAAACCAGGGUUUGGUACAUGACAAGAUUUUAAUACAGGUUAAUUCUUUUAUUUUCUGAUCUCCUAUGAAUUGAGAGAUGGAGACAGGGAUGGGAAUAUUCUCAGUUUCAUCAGCCUCUGGCACUGAAUCCUUCUUUUGCACUCCUGCGUUUCUAGCAUCCUCUCAAACCUGAAAGCAAACAGAGAAGGAAAUCUACAGGCAAGUUGUUGUUUCAAAUCAUCUUCUGCAGGCAGGGAUGACGUGUUCUAAACCAUGCAAGUCAAAUUAAAAUCCCUACAUAUUCCCUUACUUCAAAUAGAGCCUGCUUGAUCAAACCACUGAUCACAGAUAGGGACAAAACACACAUCUCACUGUGUUUGACAUCCAGAUUCCUUCUUCAUUUGGCCUGCAUUUAUUCUGUCUCUCUGAAUCCCUCAUUCUGUUUGUGAGUUACCGUUAAUUACAGAAUAAAUCAAGAGUACAUGCUAAUCUGAGGGAUCUUGUCUUUGAAAUGCGUCUUUCUGCCUUCCCAGUUUGUGGAGAGCUGAGUUGGGAAGGCAAACGCAUCCUCGGCUGGCAGACUUUGUCUUCCUUAGAAUUUAGGUGUGAUCUAUAUUCAAAUGACAGUUUAAUGAGCCUUUUCCUAUUUCCAGAAACCUUAUCACAUCAUUAAAGUGUAGAAAUGAAUAAUACAUCUAGCAGUUGGAUUAAGCUGAACUUGAGACCUGAUGCAUCUUCAAAGGGGGGAAAAUGGAGCAGGGGCAAAAUCGAGGAAUGCUGAGCUAAAGAGAAGGGGUUAAAUGAGGAGGGCAGGAGGGGCUAUUUUUAUUCCUAUGUAUCAACAUAGGUAAAUGUCACCAGUAUUUUCCAAAAUCUUAAAGUGGUAUUCCUAUUUCUCUGGGCUCAGGCUGGAAGAGAAUUUUGGAAAAUCAUCUGCUGCCAGGCAUCAGGCUGAGAAUAAAGAGUUUGCCUGACAUGACUUCAUCAGGAGAAGGCCCCAAGCUGCCCACCUCAGUGCCCCCACCAAUUCCAACUGCUUUCUCAGGGUAGAGGAGUCUCACUGACUAGUGCCUGGGACCUAGUGUCAGAAUCUCUGAUCUGUUUCUAUCUCCUAGGAGCUGUGUCCUUGGGUUAAGUAGCUAGGCCACUUUGAGUCUCUGUUUUUCCAUCUAUAAAAUGAAGAUGAUAAGUGUUCUGGCCUUGCUGGAUUGUGGGCAAGAUCCAAGGAGUAAUCCUGACUGAGUCCUUAGCAAAUGCUUGGCACACGGUACAAACAAUGCCUGUUGCCUAUUAUUUGGCAUCCCUUGGUAUCUACGAGUGCUGUUUCUUCUGCUGGGAAUGAAAUUCCUCCUUCCUUGCCUUCACCUACAGUCACUCUCUAGGCUCAAUUCCCCAGGCCUUCCUCCUUCUAAGAACUCCUGCUCAUCCUUCAAAACCCAGCUAAAAUGUUCUCCACCAUCAUCUUCCCUGACACCCCAGCACUUUGAUCAAGUGUUUCCUUCUCCCAAUCUCCCUAUUUCCCUUGACAUGUGUCAUUAAUCAAAUUAACAACUUGCUGAGACUUUGUGGGUUAAUAAACAUUUUUAUUAAAUUCAGAAUGAGUUCAGAUUCAAUUUUCUCUUCUUUUUUACAUUUAAGAAUACAGUGAUGAGAACACAUUUGUAGGUGGCUUCAGGAGUCUGUUCAAUGCAGACAGAAGCACAUGUUCAUAACACAGAGCUACCCAUUGCCCCACAAUGAAAGUCUUUGGUAGGUGUAGCCAGGACUGCAGACAUUCCAACAUCUACCAGGCCACAUGUAGAACAUGGGNAAGAUACCUCACAUCUGAUAAUUUGCAAACAACAAAAACGUAUUGCUUGUAGUGCAGGGGCUGCAGAGCCCAAGAGCUUAGCACCAGCAGAUUUAGUGACUAUUGCAGUCUGCUCUCUGCUUCUAGGAUGGAACCAUCUUACUGUGCUCUCAGAUGAUGGAAGAAGUAGACAUGAGGGUGGAGCCCUUGUGACUUAAUCACUUCUCAAAAGAGCCCCUGUAAUACUAUCCCAUUGGGUGUUAUGCUCCAAAGUGUGAAUUUGGGGGAUUCCAGUAUUUAAAUCAUAGCCACACAAUAAGAGGAAGUAUCAGGAACUGGUUGAGAACAUAGAACCCAGAAUAGGACUUCUGAAUUUGAUUUCUGACUUAGACACUUACCCAUAAGUGAUUAAACCCUUCAUAUUCCCAUGUGUGAAAUGUAGAUAUUAGUAUUUCCACAUCAAAUCUACCUUCAGCAUGUUUAGGGCCUAGAAGUACUGAAAAGAGUAAAAAUGGCAGCCUCUGUGUUACCGUAAAAGUUAAGCAAACAAAGCAUUAAGGGGGGAAAAUGUUCUACUUUCUCACCAUGACAAAUGUGGUUUUAUAAUGACCUGGAAGCACAAGGCUUUAGAAUUCUUGGACUCCAUGGAGUUAUCUCCAAAUGGGGUGGUUCAUGGGAAGCAUGUUCCAGACUUUGAUUCAUGGCUCACUCUCCUCCCUUUUUUUCCCACACAUGGCUCUGUCCUUGCUUGCAUGCUCACAGCUAAGACCACAUGAAACUCUGUGUCCACAGCCAAAGGGUGGCCACCUGUGGCCUGGAGAUCUAAGAUCAUGCCACACACAUGCCAUCUGGACAGACCUGGCAAGAGGCCCACUUAGCAUCUUGAUUUUGCUUAGAGAUGUUGAGAAAGGGACCUCCAGGAUCCCAGGUGACUGCUGGUGUGUCUUCACCUCGUGAAGAAGCUUCUUACUGUCUAGUUGGGAGCAACACGAGUAAAGAGGGCCAGAAUAGUCCCACUCAAACAGAGUCCAAAUAGAGGCCUCUGUUGUCUAAGGACAACUGACCCAUUUCACAAGGUGGCAGUGAGAAAUAAUUCAGAAACUAUGUGUUGAGUACAUAAACCAGGGUUUGGUACAUGACAAGAUUUUAAUACAGGUUAAUUCUUUUAUUUUCUGAUCUCCUAUGAAUUGAGAGAUGGAGACAGGGAUGGGAAUAUUCUCAGUUUCAUCAGCCUCUGGCACUGAAUCCUUCUUUUGCACUCCUGCGUUUCUAGCAUCCUCUCAAACCUGAAAGCAAACAGAGAAGGAAAUCUACAGGCAAGUUGUUGUUUCAAAUCAUCUUCUGCAGGCAGGGAUGACGUGUUCUAAACCAUGCAAGUCAAAUUAAAAUCCCUACAUAUUCCCUUACUUCAAAUAGAGCCUGCUUGAUCAAACCACUGAUCACAGAUAGGGACAAAACACACAUCUCACUGUGUUUGACAUCCAGAUUCCUUCUUCAUUUGGCCUGCAUUUAUUCUGUCUCUCUGAAUCCCUCAUUCUGUUUGUGAGUUACCGUUAAUUACAGAAUAAAUCAAGAGUACAUGCUAAUCUGAGGGAUCUUGUCUUUGAAAUGCGUCUUUCUGCCUUCCCAGUUUGUGGAGAGCUGAGUUGGGAAGGCAAACGCAUCCUCGGCUGGCAGACUUUGUCUUCCUUAGAAUUUAGGUGUGAUCUAUAUUCAAAUGACAGUUUAAUGAGCCUUUUCCUAUUUCCAGAAACCUUAUCACAUCAUUAAAGUGUAGAAAUGAAUAAUACAUCUAGCAGUUGGAUUAAGCUGAACUUGAGACCUGAUGCAUCUUCAAAGGGGGGAAAAUGGAGCAGGGGCAAAAUCGAGGAAUGCUGAGCUAAAGAGAAGGGGUUAAAUGAGGAGGGCAGGAGGGGCUAUUUUUAUUCCUAUGUAUCAACAUAGGUAAAUGUCACCAGUAUUUUCCAAAAUCUUAAAGUGGUAUUCCUAUUUCUCUGGGCUCAGGCUGGAAGAGAAUUUUGGAAAAUCAUCUGCUGCCAGGCAUCAGGCUGAGAAUAAAGAGUUUGCCUGACAUGACUUCAUCAGGAGAAGGCCCCAAGCUGCCCACCUCAGUGCCCCCACCAAUUCCAACUGCUUUCUCAGGGUAGAGGAGUCUCACUGACUAGUGCCUGGGACCUAGUGUCAGAAUCUCUGAUCUGUUUCUAUCUCCUAGGAGCUGUGUCCUUGGGUUAAGUAGCUAGGCCACUUUGAGUCUCUGUUUUUCCAUCUAUAAAAUGAAGAUGAUAAGUGUUCUGGCCUUGCUGGAUUGUGGGCAAGAUCCAAGGAGUAAUCCUGACUGAGUCCUUAGCAAAUGCUUGGCACACGGUACAAACAAUGCCUGUUGCCUAUUAUUUGGCAUCCCUUGGUAUCUACGAGUGCUGUUUCUUCUGCUGGGAAUGAAAUUCCUCCUUCCUUGCCUUCACCUACAGUCACUCUCUAGGCUCAAUUCCCCAGGCCUUCCUCCUUCUAAGAACUCCUGCUCAUCCUUCAAAACCCAGCUAAAAUGUUCUCCACCAUCAUCUUCCCUGACACCCCAGCACUUUGAUCAAGUGUUUCCUUCUCCCAAUCUCCCUAUUUCCCUUGACAUGUGUCAUUAAUCAAAUUAACAACUUGCUGAGACUUUGUGGGUUAAUAAACAUUUUUUAUUAAAUUCAGAAUGAGUUCAGAUUCAAUUUUCUCUUCUUUUUUACAUUUAAGAAUACAGUGAUGAGAACACAUUUGUAGGUGGCUUCAGGAGUCUGUUCAAUGCAGACAGAAGCACAUGUUCAUAACACAGAGCUACCCAUUGCCCCACAAUGAAAGUCUUUGGUAGGUGUAGCCAGGACUGCAGACAUUCCAACAUCUACCAGGCCACAUGUAGAACAUGGGUAUGAGAAUGGCAGGUUGAGUCUAUUUCACUGUCUCACUGCCCCCAGACAACUUAGGGGCACUCAACCACUGAGCCACAUCUCCAGCCAUCUUUUGUAUUUUAUUUAAAGACAGGGUCUCAUGGAGUUGCCUAGUGCCUCACUGUUGCUGAGAUUGGCUUUGAACUCAGGAUCCUCCUGCCCCAGGCUCUAGAGCUGCUGGGAUUACAGGCGUGUGCCACUGUGCCCAGCCAAAGUAUUCUUUACUAAAAGGUACCAAUCAAUCUUCCAUCCCUUCUACACAGCACAUGGGAGAGAUGCCAAGAUCUGUGUGCUCCACUAAGUGACGUUCCUCCCAUCUUCCCAUCUUCUCAUUCUGAAUCCUCUCAUGACAAUCAUGGGAUCACCCCCCUCAAGGUCUAAUUUCCUCUUCUAACAGGUUUUCAUCCGUCUUCUGGAAGGAUGAAUAUAAUAAUGCCAUUCUCUGACAUUUUUUUCUUGUGGUGCUGAGGACGGAACCCAGGGCCUCAUGCAUCCUACCCCACCAGCCCCAUUCUCUUACUUUUAAAAAUGUCUCUUUCUUCCUAACAAAAAGAGACCACGAUUAUAGGCUGCAAGUUAGGAAACACUGUCCACUCUGAUCGCAGCUUUCUUUCAACUUUGCCUCCUACUACUUUCCUUUGUGAAUAUUAUGUUGAAGCUAAAUCUCUGUGCCAUUGUAUCCCUGCAGCCCGUGACUUUUUAAAUGCAUUAAUCAGAUCAUGCCUCUCCUGUGUUUAAAACCGUCCAAUGUCUUGUAUAACCACAUUGCAAAACUGAUUGGCAGUUCUACUAAACAGACCAUGCGUAUUCUCAGUGCCUUUGCAGUUUCUCUCCUGGAUGUGUUUCCCACAUAAAUUCAUGAACAAGCUGGCCUUUUAAAAAUGUGCAAAGAUAUUCAGAGCAGCAUUGUUUGUAAUAACACCAAACUCAAAACUACAUAAAUGGCCCUAACACUAUGAUGGAUAAACUAUGUAUUUUUCACCCAAGGAAAUACUAUAUAGCAAUGAUAAUAAAUUUUAGAGCUAUAUGCAAAAAUAAAAUGAAUCUCACAAUAUAAUUUUGAGGAAAAAAAGGUCAAACAUGAAAUAGUACAAGUUAUAGUCUUCUAUUUGUGUGAAGUUCAAAAGCAGGUGAAAUAGAACUCAUUAGCCUCCAGGAGAGUGGUGAUUAGGAGCCUGUAAUGGAUUAAAUUGUGCCCCCCACCCCCUGCCACAUCAUAGGUACUUUUUAAAGGUGAGCUAUUUGGAAAUAAGGUUUUUUUGAAAAUGAUGUAAAUAAGUUAAGCAUUGCUAUAAUUUGGAUCUUAAGUGUCUACAGAGGCCCUGUGUAAAAGGCAUGGUAGCCAGCCUGUGGCACUACCGGGAGGUGGUAAAACGUUUAGAAGGUAGUGCCUAAUAGAAGGAAGUGAAGUCACUGGGGUCAUGCCCUGGAAGAGGAUAUUAAAACUUCAGCCACUUUGUGUCCCUUUUUCUUUCACUUCCUGGCUUCUGUGGGAUGAGCAGCCUCCUCUACCAUGUGCUUCUGUCAGGAUAUGCAGCCUUUCCACAGGCCCAAAAGCAAUGAGUCAAACAAAGCAAGGACUAAAAAUUUCAAAACUGUGAGCCAAAGCCUAUCCUGCUUCUCAAUUGAUUAUCUCAGGUGUUUGUCAAAGCAACGGGAAGCUGAUGAACACAUGGCUCUCAAGAUGAUAUCGUCUUAGAUUUCAGGUGGGCCCAAAUGCUGACUUCUCUUCUUAUAAAACAAAGGAUAGAGAGAUUUUGAGACUCACAGAGGAAAGGACCAUGUGAAGAUGGAGGCAGAAAUUGGAGCAAUGUAUUGAUAAGCUAAGUUGCCAAAAUCUACCAAAAACUAAGAGGGAGGCACGGAAGUGUCCCUCAAACUCGGCAGAAGGAGUUUACCCUACUAAUGUGUUGAUUUCAGACAUUUUGCCUUCAAAACUAUAAAGUGAGUAAAUUUCUGUUGUUUUAAGUGCACAGUUCUUCUUAAUUUGUUAUAGCAGCUAUUGGAAACUAAUACAGGUGUGUACGAGGCUACCAAGAUGCAGAUAAAAUUCUAGAUUUCUAUUGUUGUUGUAAUUGUUGUUCUAUGUGAGUGAGUACGCUAAGCUUAUAAAAACUAUUGUGCUACACAAUCUUCUAUGUCUGUGUGUUUAUUUAACUUCAAAAAGUAAAAAUAUAUGAUUACCCUUUACCACACUUUGAAAGAAGCUCGGUUAUCAUGGUAUAGCAGUCAGGAUAAUAUAGGUUAUUGUGAGUAACAAAUGAUCCCCCAAAAUUUCCAAAGCAAUAAUAGUCUAUACUUCACCCAUGAAACAUGUCUUAAAGGAUCAGCUGUGGCUCUGCUUCACAUCAUCUUUGUGAACUAGAUCAAACUUUAAUUCCUAUAUGAAGUCUUUCCAAAAUUCUCUAGGCAGAUAAGUGAUACAACAGAAGUGUCUUUCUCCAAUUAUAUUAUUUUUAUUUUGGCUACUUGCUUGCACAUUUAUUUCUGGUACUAGGUGUGAAUGCACAGAUUGUAAGACUAUCAUCUAUAUGGAGCAUAGCUUAAUGAUUGGAAGCACAUAUUUUAUACCAAACUUGAUGUCAGACAGAUUUUGGUUUAAAAUCCAUUUCUAGUGACCUUGGGUAACUUAAUUAAUGCCACUUAUUCUCAAUUUUCUCUUUGUAAAAUAAAAAUAGAAGUAUUACUAAUUUUGGAGUAUAGUGAGUAUUAGAGACUAUAACAAAUAUGAAAAGUUUAAAAAUAAUCUAAAGCAUCUAUAAGGUACUCAAUAAAUAUUACCUAUUUAACAUUAUUGCAUACCUACUGUAUGCCAGGCUCUGAUCUCAGGUUCUAGAGUUAGCAGUGAACAAGACAAAUUCAAGAUCCUUAGUGGGCUUGACAUUGAAACUAGCUGGUAUUUGUAUACCCAGUAGCUAGCACAAUGCUCAAUAUACAGUAGGCCCAUAAUAAAUGCUGUGGAACAUUGGUACCCAUUCUCAGUGGUACCCUGAAGUAUCAUGCUUAUUCCUAUUCUACUCUUAACUUCUUGUCUUUAUCAGAUUUUUAUUAUCACUUUUCUCCAUUGAUUCUUGUUCUUAUUUUCCCAUGAGUCAUUCCCUUAAAAAAAUUAGGUUUUUGGGGUGAGUGUUUGAACCUCAUUACGUUAGUAUUGCAUACAUAAUAAUCCAUGCUAACAGAUGCCCUAUUUAUGAGGAAAUGUAAAGCCAUGAUGUGGGGAAAUUAUUCAUCUCAUGUUUUUGUUGAAGAAGCAAAACACACAGUAAAUUAAGUCUGGUCUUCUUGAAAUUCUGCAUUUAAAGAAAUUGUGAUAGGAGCUGGGGAGCACACUUUGUACAAUGUGGCAUUAAUUAUUCAGUCAUUCUGAAUAGGCUUCAAUUGCAUUACAUGGGAAAACGGAAGAGCCCUCCAGUGGCCGAAUAAUCCCUCUCAAAUCCCAAGGGUUAUUUGCUGCAGACAGCAUCUCCAACUGAAUGAAAUGUCUGCUUCAUCUUCUGUGGGGAAAGAAAGAGGGCAAGACCUAUUAAAGUCUCGUUUUCUCAUUUUAAAAAGGAAUUUUGUCUGAUUUUACACAGACAAGUUUUGAAGCAUAUUAUUUAAUGUGUUAAAGGAGAGAUCAUCCCUCUUUUACAAAAGCUAAGCAUUGCAAUUUGACACAUUUUUUAAUUGAGCAUCUAUGGUAGGUCCUACUCUAUAAUGGGUUUUGUGAAAGGGGAUAGCGUUUGGGGGAGGAAGAGAGGAGAAAACAUAGUUUCUAUCUUCCAGGGACUUGCAGACUGCUGAGAAGACAAGAUUAAUUCAUUUGGACAAUACAGUGAUCAUUUAUAGUGCUAACCUUGCUCUUUCUUAUGAGAAACGAUGUUUGAUUUUCUCUUCAGAGUAAGGGAAAUAAUGUGUCUCCGGAAUAAAUAAAAUUCUAUUUGCUAUUUACUGAGGGCAGGCAUUUUCCUAGGUACAAGAAUGGGGAAGAGCAAUAUAAACAUGGUCCCUGCCUUCUGGGUACUUACAGUCUGUAGGAGGAGACUAACAAUGAAUAAGCAAUUGUAAAACGUUGUGAGAAAUGCUUGGAUAGAUCAAGUACAGCUAGGAGGGCACUGGGAGGAAGCAUUUAGCCAAAACUGGGGAGGGAAAGGUGGUCAGUGAUGGUUUUCUAGAGAAAGUGACAUUUUGAGCAGUGCCUAAAAUAAAGAAGUUAUGAGGUUGGGAUUAAAAUGUUCUAGAAAGAGAGAUUAUGGAAAGGGAACUGCUGACAGUGAGGCUGGCAAUCGAGAGGCUGAAAGACAUUGAGUGCAACUGGGUGAAGGGGUGUGAGGAGAAAAGAGGUAGGGGCCCCGCCCUGGUAGCCGUCAUGGCUAAAUCCUGCUGCCUGUUAGACUGCCUGGAUACCACAUAGGCACGUCCUUUGGUUAUCAACCACCAAAUCAUGCUGUUUCAUGAGAACUUAUUUUGGUUCCAGUUUCUCAGAAGAAUACACAUUGCUAUUUUUGACCCUAGUUUAUUGUCCAAAUUCACACCUAUGCUCAGGUCAACUCCUUGAUGCCAACCCAGUUUGGGUUCUGAUUUUCGCUUUCGCAUCCCAUCAAGAAACUUCAAUCCUCCUUUGGCAUGACCAUUUCUCCAUCUCUGUUUUUAAUAUUAUAUCUUCCACCUGUCCCUUCUGGCUACCAAGUCCACCCUCUGGAUUAGACCCCUCUACUGGGCACAACUAGAUCCUAGAAGGGGUGAUCAGUGAGGCCUGAAUCAGGAAGGAAGGAUACAAUUUACAAAUCGAAAAAGGCUAUCAGCAUUGAUACCUUGGCCAUUCAAAGGGAACACCUGACUGCUUUAUUUUUCACCUGCAGGAAUCACCAAAGAAAGACACUGGCAGAGAGUGAUCCAACAUCAAAAUCUACACAGAAGAAAAUCAGGGCUGAUUUGAAUGUGCAAAUUGUCAGAAAGCUGAACAUCUGUCCUGAGCUUUGAACUUCGCCAUGAAAUAACAUGGCUAUCUAAUACCAACAUGCAUAAGCCCCUCAAAAUGAAUUCCUCCACAAGAACAAGAAGAGAGGGCAACACCCUCUUCCAGAGCUGACAAGGUGACAUGUGAAAUCUUUCCCAGUAUCCAGGCAGACCUCAUCCCAGUGCCUAUUAAACCUUCCCAUGCUUCACUGACAUCCAGAAAAUGACCCCUGGCCUUCAAUAUGGAGAAAAAAAAAUGGUUCUUGAAGGGAAAUAAAUAUGCUUUCUUUUUCAUCACAGAAAAAUACACUUUGCCAGAGUGAUAAGGAAGGUUAGACCUUUGAGUGACAUUGGCCUGAGGGGUCAGAAUGACAGGGUUACUCAUUCAGACUUGUGCAGAAAGUAAUUUGGGCCCAACGGCGUUUUGCUCAGUAGACAGCAGCCAUCAGCCCAAACUGCACGUUACCUGCUGCUGGAUGACUUGCUGUGUCAUCACAGAUCACAGGGAUGCAGACUCCAAAGAUGCACCUGACACUUUUAAUUGAGAAGGCUUUUUUAAACAUAAACAGUACCCCCAGAACUUGCAGAGCCUCACAGUGAUAGCUUAGAGCUAAAUGCAAAAUUGUGCUAUUAACUUUCUGCACUUGCAACUUUGGAUUUCCUUCAGGAUAAAUUUUCAAUGCUGGGUCUGAUUCAAUCUUCAGUAAAAAGAUUAGGAAGGGUAAAGGGUAUACAGAUUCUCACCAAACAGUACUAGAUUUUACCUCCUUGUCCAAAAACCCUCGAAAAU